rnacentral:rRNA from 1 species
GAUGAACGCUGGCGGCGUGCCUAAUACAUGCAAGUCGAGCGAACGGACGAGAAGCUUGCUUCUCUGAUGUUAGCGGCGGACGGGUGAGUAACACGUGGAUAACCUACCUAUAAUACUGGGAUAACUUCGGGAAACCGUAGCUAAUACCGGAUAAUAUUUUGAACCGCAUGGUUCAAAAGUGAAAGACGGUCUUGCUGUCACUUAUAGAUGGAUCCGCGCUGCAUUAGCUAGUUGGUAAGGUAACGGCUUACCAAGGCAACGAUGCAUAGCCGACCUGAGAGGGUGAUCGGCCACACUGGAACUGAGACACGGUCCAGACUCCUACGGGAGGCAGCAGUAGGGAAUCUUCCGCAAUGGGCGCAAGCCUGACGGAGCAACGCCGCGUGAGUGAUGAAGGUCUUCGGAUCGUAAAACUCUGUUAUUAGGGAAGAACAUAUGUGUAAGUAACUGUGCACAUCUUGACGGUACCUAAUCAGAAAGCCACGGCUAACUACGUG